rnacentral:rRNA from 1 species
AGAAAAAGAGGCGGUAAUGCGAGACCAAAUGGUAUGAUGAGGGAGUUUUGUGAAUGCCUUAUGGAUUGUGGGCUAGAGGACUUAGGUUACACUGGCGACCUUUUUACUUGGAGCAGAGGUGAUAUUCGAGAGCGUCUUGAUUGUGCAGUAUGUAAUAUUGGGUGGGCACUCAAAUUCCCUCGUGCAAAAGUGAUUAAUGAAGAACAUGUUCAUUCUGACCAUCGCGCGCUGGUGCUCGAUACAGAUUAUCUAGACGAGAAUAUUUUCAAGCAACCAGCGGGACAUGCAAAACAAUUUGAAGCUAGGUGGUUACAUGAAGACACUGUUAAUGAAAUCGUUAAGGCAUCUUGGGAGAAAGCAAAGUUAGCUGGUAUUGGGCCUUCUCUUGCGAAUCGAAUGAGAGCCAUUCAUGCUGAUCUUCACGAUUGGGAUCGUGAAUUUUUAAAGGGUCCGAAGCGGAGAAUUAAGAAAUUGAAAAAAGAGUUAGAGAGACUGCGACGCGGCCCGACGAAUGCUGAGUCUCGUUGCCGACAGAAGGAGAUAAUUGUGGUUAUUGAAAACCUCUUAGACCAGGAGGAAAUUUUCUGGCUACAAAGAGGUCGUGCAAACUGGUUGAUGCACGGGGACCGUAACACAUCUUUCUUCCAUAACACAGCUACGGCUAGGAAGAAGAGAAGUAAUAUCAAGAAGUUAUUGGAUGACUAG